rnacentral:rRNA from 1 species
CAUGUGUGUUAGUGGAAGCGUCUGGAAAGGCGCGCGAUACAGGGUGACAGCCCCGUACACAAAAGCGCAUGUGCUGUGAGCUCGAUGAGUAGGGCGGGACACGUGGUAUCCUGUCUGAAUAUGGGGGGACCAUCCUCCAAGGCUAAAUACUCCUGACUGACCGAUAGUGAACCAGUACCGUGAGGGAAAGGCGAAAAGAACCCCGGCGAGGGGAGUGAAAAAGAACCUGAAACCGUGUACGUACAAGCAGUGGGAGCACAGGUUUACCUGUGUGACUGCGUACCUUUUGUAUAAUGGGUCAGCGACUUAUAUUCUGUAGCAAGGUUAACCGAAUAGGGGAGCCGGAGGGAAACCGAGUCUUAAUUGGGCGUUAAGUUGCAGGGUAUAGACCCGAAACCCGGUGAUCUAGCCAUGGGCAGGUUGAAGGUUGGGUAACACUAACUGGAGGACCGAACCGACUAAUGUUGAAAAAUUAGCGGAUGACCUGUGGCUGGGGGUGAAAGGCCAAUCAAACCGGGAGAUAGCUGGUUCUCCCCGAAAGCUAUUUAGGUAGCGCCUCGUGAAUUCAUCUCCGGGGGUAGAGCACUGUUUCGGCUAGGGGGCCAUCCCGGCUUACCAACCCGAUGCAAACUGCGAAUACCGGAGAAUGUUAUCACGGGAGACACACGGCGGGUGCUAACGUCCGUCGUGAAGAGGGAAACAACCCAGACCGCCAGCUAAGGUCCCAAAGUCAUGGUUAAGUGGGAAACGAUGUGGGAAGGCCCAGACAGCCAGGAUGUUGGCUUAGAAGCAGCCAUCAUUUAAAGAAAGCGUAAUAGCUCACUGGUCGAGUCGGCCUGCGCGGAAGAUGUAACGGGGCUAAACCAU